CUCCUCCCGCUGCAAACGCGCGAACUUCUGUGGCUCGAUCCCAGUGCGCACUCCUCCCAGUGCACUGGCCGGUUGGAGUUUUGCCAGGGAGGCCUUCCCACCUGCCUGUCUCAAUGGAAAGAAUAUGUGGAUUUGGAUUCAGGGACACCUUUAUCACCUAUGUGACUUUAGAGCCAGCAAGCGUUCCUGAAGCAUUCAGAAUUGUCUAAUUUCACCAAAUGAAUGAUCCCUGAGGGAUACCAUGGAUCCUGCUGGUCUAGGAUUGGCUCCAGCUUUUUCUGGAUCUGCAUUUGCUGUGCAACCCUGCUCGGGGGCUGAGAGAUGCUCUGGAGCUGUCUAGGCUGCUAAUAUAUCUGACCACACUGGCUCUGCAAGACCAUGGCUGAAGACUGCUUAAAUGUUGUCCCUGAGUCAAUAUCUUAACAUUUAUUGCAUCUUUUAUUUUCUUAACAAAAAUGAAGGCAUUUGUGACUGUGUUGUUUUCCAUCAAAAAUUGGGAAUCAUGCCCUUUCAUACAACACAGUUGUGGUCCAUCUUUUCUUCUGGGGUAGUAGAAAGAUCAAGAUCAUCAGAGAACGUAGGGUGCAAUAUCAGCUCUCCAGUACCAAACACGGUUCAUUAACCUCUCGGAACCUCAGGUGUCUUGGGGCAUAGUUCAUGUCUCCUGGCCCAUCUCACAGGAUUAUCAGGAGGACGAAUGAGAUAAAAUAUCUUCAUAUAUUUUUGAAGAAAGAAGAGGCUGACCAAUUAAGAGGAGUGAAAUUUGGAGGAAAUUACUAACCUGAUAAUUAGAACACUGAUAAAAGAAAAAUGGGAGUCUCUAAGAACAAAUGAGUAAACAAUUUCUCAGGCUAAAGAAAAUAUCACCUAAUGCUUCUGAUAUACAGAAUUGUGUGCUGCAAAUGGUUGAAAAGAUUUUAGUUUCAACACCUAAUUCCCAUCAUUCUGUGGCAAAAUAUAUCUUGAGUUCUGAUGGGCGCCAGAACAACAUCUGAAGAUUGAAUGAAACUUCUAAAGGUGAGUGAUAACAAGGCCCGUCCUGUACUUCACAGAAGACUUCUGAGGGUCAAAGAGAAGAUUUAUAGUUCUGGAGGUCAGAAGUCCAAGCUGAGUUUCACUGGCCCAAAUUCAAGAGUACCAGGCCAGAUUUCCAAAUGGGACAACAGGUGGAACUCUCAUUUUGCUCAUGUUCA
rnacentral:lncRNA from 1 species